GGGUGUGUAGCUCAGUUGGUAGAGCAUCUGGCUUUUAACUUGAUGGUCGUAGGUUCAAGUCCUGCCAUACCCA
rnacentral:tRNA from 1 species